GACGAACGCUGGCGGCGUGCUUAACACAUGCAAGUCGAACGGAAAGGCCCUGCUUGCAGGGUACUCGAGUGGCGAACGGGUGAGUAACACGUGGGUGAUCUGCCCUGCACUUCGGGAUAAGCCUGGGAAACCGGGUCUAAUACCGGAUAGGAGCCAUUUUUAGUGCGAUGGUUGGAAAGUUUUUUCGGUGUAGGAUGAGCUCGCGGCCUAUCAGCUUGUUGGUGGGGUAAUGGCCUACCAAGGCGGCGACGGGUAGCCGGCCUGAGAGGGUGGACGGCCACAUUGGGACUGAGAUACGGCCCAGACUCCUACGGGAGGCAGCAGUGGGGAAUAUUGCACAAUGGGCGCAAGCCUGAUGCAGCGACGCCGCGUGGGGGAUGACGGCCUUCGGGUUGUAAACUCCUUUCGCUAGGGACGAAGCUUUUUGUGACGGUACCUAGAUAAGAAGCACCGGCUAACUACGUG
rnacentral:rRNA from 1 species